rnacentral:tRNA from 1 species
GCAUCGGUGGCUUAGUGGUAGAAUUUUCGCCUGCCACGCGGGCGGCCCAGGUUCGAUUCCCGGCCGAUGCA